UACGUAGGGGGCAAGCGUUGUCCGGAUUUAUUGGGCGUAAAGAGCGUGUAGGCGGCCAGGCAGGUCCGCUGUGAAAACUCGAGGCUCAACCUCGAGAGGUCGGUGGAAACCGUUUGGCUAGAGUCCGGAAGAGGAGAGUGGAAUUCCCGGUGUAGCGGUGAAAUGCGCAGAUAUCGGGAAGAACACGCGUGGCGAAGGCGGCUCUCUGGGACGGUACUGGCUGAGACGCGAAAGCGUGGGGAGCGAACAGG
rnacentral:rRNA from 1 species